GAGGAACUUGAAGAGACCCUUGUCAUGCUGGCUGUAAGAGACAGGGAACUCACUAAAGUUAGUAUACCAUACCUUCACACAUAGACGGUUCAUUCUCUGUUUUACAAUGACUGCAUUGGUAGAUUUGUAUUUUUUUAUUGUUCCUUUCCAGAAAGACAUACUGAUGGAUAAGCUGAAGAACUCUCAUCUGGAGAACCACAGAAUCAUUGAGGUAUCUUCAUAAUAACAUUCAUCAUUUCAAGUGCCUGCAGUUAUGCCUGUGCGCUAGCAGAAAGUAGCUCUGAUUGUUUUUUCCUUGUCGUUGAAGGGGCUACAGUCAGAGUUUAUGCAUUUAUCAGAGCAUUCCCAGCAAGCUCUUUUGAGGUUUGACAGGCACUGUGGCAGUCCAACAGGUUUCCAGGGAAGGAGUGGAGGGGUUCCUAACCACCGCUCUCUGCAUGCUGAGAUCCAGGACAUUCAGCAGGUGACAAAGGCUUUAGUUCUGCAGUUGGUUAUCAAAAGCCCUAUCGUGUUACUAUAGGUUUAUUAUAAUGAUGUAUUUCCCUCAGCAGCGUGGGGUUCUGGAGGAGAUGACUGGUCCAGUAUGUGGGGUUUGGUCCUCUCACACUCAGAGGGAAGAUAUCCAAAACAUAAUUCACAGGAUCAAGUCUGCUGAGCUGGCCCACCUUCUCCACGCACACUACCCAGAGAGGGAUUCUGUUGGUGGUUGUGCUGUUGAGACCCUGGAGAGGCCAUAUCCCCACAGCCAACAGCCACAGCCUAGCAUCAAGCAGCAGCUGGUUAAUGUACUGAAGGAACUGGAGCAGCAGAUGACUCUGUGGGAGGAGAGAGAGGAGAAGGUGGCGGAACAACGGAGGCUACAGGAGCAGCAGGAGCAGAGGCAGAAGCCCCAGGCCAAGAGGGCAGCUGUGGUGAACUGGUGGAGAACCCUUAAGGUGGAGGGGGGUAGGACCAAGGUCAAGCCGGAAGACACCCUGACCCAGCCCAGCAAGACCCUCACUGAUACAGAUUCCAAGCUCCAACAGGCAAAGCACACCAUCACAAAGAUUAGGGAGCAGGUAUGCCACCUUGAGUCAGCUCUGAGAACUGCCCAGGAGGACGUAGCUGAGCACAAAUACAUUCAGGACAGGGUGGGUGUUCUUCACAAAGACAAGAAGACCAACACGGUGAGAGAGGGACCUGGCUGGACUGGGGAGGAGGCAUCAAAGGAGCGUAAGGACGUGGCUGUGGCUACAGACCAUGUGGAGGACCCAGGUAGAUCAGAGAAGGUAGCAGCCCAGCUUGUGACCUCAGAGGGUCUGCUGGUGACCCUCAGGAGGAUGGAGGCCAUGGUCAGCAUUGCCCUGGAGGCAGCUGAGCUGGUCAGGGAGAGUCAGCGAAGGGUCAGCCAGGUCAAGGAGAGGAUGGAGAGUAUCACUCAGAAGAUGGAGGAAGCUCUGACCAGAGGAGCGCACACAGAAGAUCAGCUCAGUGCCCUGGAGGCCAGGGUCACAGCCAAACCUCAGUUGCCAGGUCCUAUAGGGCAGACAGCCCAGCCUGGUGUUGAAGCUAUAGGCAGAGAUAGACCCAGGAAUCCCUCUCCACCAGAGCCUAUGACCGAAAGCUACAGCAAGUCUAGAUGGCCCCUUAUAAGCGGUAUGAUGAGACUACGACUACUGAAAUACAGGGCAAACACAGCAUUUGUAUGUCACUGA
rnacentral:lncRNA from 13 species